rnacentral:lncRNA from 1 species
CCCUCAGCUGAUACAAAAGUGGAAUAAUGUGUUAGUUUCCUGAGGCUGCUGACAAAUUCCCAGAAACUUGGGGGCUUCAACAACAGAAAUUUGUUCUCUCAUAGUUCCGGAGGCCUGAAGUCAAGGUGUUGGCAGGGCUGCACUCCCUCAGGGGGCUCUAAGGGAGAUAAUGUUCUUUGCCCCUGCCAACUUGAUGGAUGCCAGUGUUCCUAGGCUUGUGGCUGCAUAACUCCAGUCUCUGCCUCCAUCUUCACCCGGCUGUCUUCUCCUCUCUCUCCUGUGUGUCUUUUAUAAGGAUACUUGCCAUUGGACUUAGGGUCAACUCAGGUAAUUCAGGAUGAUCUCAUCUCCAGAUGGUUAACUUAAUUCCAUCUGCAAAUACCUUUUUCCAAAUAAGGACACAUUCAGAGGUUUUGGGGAUUAGGACAUAGACAUACAUUUUGGGGGCCACCAUUCAACCCUUUCAAGCAAUAUAGGGCUCUAUUGGAUUUAUGUGACAGACCACUGCCCAAGUUAAAAUAAGCCAAAGGGAAAUUUGCAGGUUCAUGAAAACGGAAAGCACAGGAGAGGUUCAAGUUUCCAAUGGAUGGAAGGCUCAGACAAUGUUAGCAGGUUUCUUUUCUAUCUAUCAUCGUGUUUCUCAGUUUUGCUUAUCUCAAUUUGACUUUAUUUCUUCUGCAGACCUUUCUGAUGGGGCUGUGACGAUAGCCCCUAGAAAACCUCCACACAUAACCUUGCAGUUGAAAAAGACAGUCUUGUUUGAUAACUGUAUAGAAAAUUCCUAAGGAAAACUCUGAUUGGCCAUUUUGAGUCACAUGCCCAUUUCUGCAUGUGGUGGGGGAGGGGCUUUACAGUGAUUGACAACCCCACUAGAACUAUAUGGAAGAGAGGUAGCAUAGUUCCUCCAAGGAAGAGCUGCUGGAUGGACAAACUAAGUAUGUCUACUAAGGACAUUCUUCUCCCUCCAUUAUUAAAUGAGGUGCAGCUUUACAUUUAGAGGGCUCCAGAGGCCUUGCUUCCAUGGGAGAUAGCAAAUACCACACUACACUGAAAAUCUAUGCAGGAUGUGGUGGGAUCAAGGUGGCACUGAGGAGAUGAACACAUGAGGAGUCAUAAGGAAGAUACCCAUGUUGAGUGUGCAGAAUCUUCACUGAGGAAGACCUCAAGGGAAAUGAGAUCCUGUGCAUAUAUUUACAGACUGGUGAGCCCUGGAAAUAAUAACAAAAGAUAUCUAGAAAAGACCUAAAUGCUUGGAAAUUAAGCAACACACUUCUAAAUAAUCCAUGGGUCUAAUAAGAAAUCCCAAUGGAUAUAAGAAAAUAUAUUGAACUGAAAAUUAAUGAAGUCGUGACAUAUUGGAGCUUGUGGAAGCUGUGCUUAGAGGGACAGUUAUGCAUAUAUUUGGGGCAGGGGUCGAAAAAAUGGCCUAGACGCAAAUUUCAAAAAGAUGGAGGCUUGGCAAAAAUUAUUGGCUCCUGCAACUGAAAAAUCCAAAUGGGAGUUCCAUUUUCAGGCACAGUUAGAUCAGGUGUCAGAUAUCACCAUGAGGACUUAGUAGCAACCCAGCCAGUUUCUUUGCUAGUUUCUCUAUUGACUUCCGUCUCAACCAUCUCAUGUGAUGGCUCUUGACACUCCCAGGCUUAUAUCCUCCAAGCUUAGCAAUUUCAGUGGAAAGAAGAUUCUUUCCAGAUAGUUCCAGUACAAGUUUCUGGAUUGACUCUGAUUCUUCUGGCUUGAAUCAUGCCUAUCUCUG